rfam:Bacillus marisflavi strain JCM 11544 super9, whole genome shotgun sequence.
GGGUGAUGGCGUGCCUUUUGUAGAAUGAACCGGCGAGUUACGAUCCCAUGCAAGGUUAAGUUGAGAAGACGGAGCCGCAGCGAAAGCGAGUCUGAAUAGGGCGAAUGAGUAUGUGGUCGUAGACCCGAAACCAGGUGAUCUACCCAUGUCCAGGAUGAAGUCCAGGUAACACUGGAUGGAGGUCCGAACCCACGCACGUUGAAAAGUGCGGGGAUGAGGUGUGGGUAGCGGAGAAAUUCCAAUCGAACCUGGAGAUAGCUGGUUCUCUCCGAAAUAGCUUUAGGGCUAGCCUCAUGUUGUAAGAGUCUUGGAGGUAGAGCACUGUUUGGACUAGGGGCCCUCAUCGGGUUACCGAAUUCAGACAAACUCCGAAUGCCAAAGACUUAUCCAUGGGAGUCAGACUGCGAGUGAUAAGAUCCGUAGUCGAAAGGGAAACAGCCCAGACCACCAGCUAAGGUCCCAAAGUAUACGUUAAGUGGAAAAGGAUGUGGAGUUGCUUAGACAACCAGGAUGUUGGCUUAGAAGCAGCCACCAUUUAAAGAGUGCGUAAUAGCUCACUGGUCGAGUGACUCUGCGCCGAAAAUGUACCGGGGCUAAACGUAUCACCGAAGCUGUGGAUUGACACCGUUUGGUGUCAGUGGUAGGAGAGCGUUCUAAGGACUGCGAAGCUAGACCGUAAGGACUGGUGGAGUGCUUAGAAGUGAGAAUGCCGGUAUGAGUAGCGAAAGAUGGGUGAGAAUCCCAUCCACCGAAUGCCUAAGGUUUCCUGAGGAAGGCUCGUCCGCUCAGGGUUAGUCGGGACCUAAGUCGAGGCCGAUAGGCGUAGACGAUGGACAACAGGUUGAUAUUCCUGUACCACCUUUCUUCCAUUUGAGCAAUGGGGGGACGCAGGAGGAUAGGGUAAGCGCACUGCUGGAUAUGUGCGUCUAAGCAGUUAGGCUGAUGAUGAGGCAAAUCCCAUCAUCGUGAAGGCUGAGCUGUGAUAGCGAGCGAAUUAUAGUAGCGAAGUUCCUGAUUCCACACUGCCAAGAAAAGCCUCUAGCGAGGAAGAUGGUGCCCGUACCGCAAACCGACACAGGUAGGCGAGGAGAGAAUCCUAAGGUGAGCGAGAGAACUCUCGUUAAGGAACUCGGCAAAAUGACCCCGUAACUUCGGGAGAAGGGGUGCUCUGGUAGGGUGCAAGCCCGAGAGAGCCGCAGUGAAUAGGCCCAGGCGACUGUUUAGCAAAAACACAGGUCUCUGCGAAGCCGUAAGGCGAAGUAUAGGGGCUGACGCCUGCCCGGUGCUGGAAGGUUAAGAGGAGUGCUUAGCGCAAGCGAAGGUGCGAAUCGAAGCCCCAGUAAACGGCGGCCGUAACUAUAACGGUCCUAAGGUAGCGAAAUUCCUUGUCGGGUAAGUUCCGACCCGCACGAAAGGCGUAACGAUCUGGGCACUGUCUCAACGAGAGACUCGGUGAAAUUAUAGUACCUGUGAAGAUGCAGGUUACCCGCGACAGGACGGAAAGACCCCGUGGAGCUUUACUGUAGCCUGAUAUUGAAUUUUGGCACAGCUUGUACAGGAUAGGUAGGAGCCUUGGAAGCCGGAGCGCUAGCUUCGGUGGAGGCGUCGGUGGGAUACUACCCUGGCUGUGUUGACAUUCUAACCCGCGCCCCUUAUCGGGGUGGGAGACAGUGUCAGGUGGGCAGUUUGACUGGGGCGGUCGCCUCCUAAAGAGUAACGGAGGCGCCCAAAGGUUCCCUCAGAAUGGUUGGAAAUCAUUCGCAGAGUGUAAAGGCACAAGGGAGCUUGACUGCGAGACCUACAAGUCGAGCAGGGACGAAAGUCGGGCUUAGUGAUCCGGUGGUUCCGCAUGGAAGGGCCAUCGCUCAACGGAUAAAAGCUACCCCGGGGAUAACAGGCUUAUCUCCCCCAAGAGUCCACAUCGACGGGGAGGUUUGGCACCUCGAUGUCGGCUCAUCGCAUCCUGGGGCUGUAGUCGGUCCCAAGGGUUGGGCUGUUCGCCCAUUAAAGCGGUACGCGAGCUGGGUUCAGAACGUCGUGAGACAGUUCGGUCCCUAUCCGUCGUGGGCGCAGGAAAUUUGAGAGGAGCUGUCCUUAGUACGAGAGGACCGGGAUGGACGCACCGCUGGUGUACCAGUUGUCUUGCCAAAGGCAUCGCUGGGUAGCUAUGUGCGGAAGGGAUAAGUGCUGAAAGCAUCUAAGCAUGAAGCCCCCCUCGAGAUGAGAUUUCCCAUCACUUUAUGUGAGUAAGAUCCCUGAAAGAUGAUCAGGUAGAUAGGUCAGAGGUGGAAGUGUGGCGACACAUGGAGCUGACUGAUACUAAUCGAUCGAGGACUUAACCAA